rnacentral:rRNA from 1 species
GUAGUAGAUGGAGUUUCUAUGUUAGAUACUUCUGCACUUACAGGAGAGUCAGUGCUGAGAGAAGUUGAAAAAGGAGAUGAAAUCUUAUCAGGUGUUAUAAAUAAAAAUGCUUUAUUGAGUAUUGAAGUUACAAAGAGUUUUGGAGAAUCAACAGUUUCUAAGAUUCUUGACCUUGUUGAAAAUUCUAGCAUUAAAAAAUCAAAGACAGAAAACUUUAUAUCUAAGUUUUCAAGAUACUAUACUCCAAUAGUAGUAAUAGCUGCUUUAUUAAUAGCAUUUGUGCCACCACUUGUAAUCUCAGGUGAGGUAUUUAGUGAUUGGUUAUAUAGAGGAUUGAUAUUCUUAGUCGUUUCUUGCCCUUGUGCAUUAGUUUUAUCAAUACCACUUAGUUUCUUUAGUGGAAUUGGGUUUGCAUCUAAAAAUGGUAUCCUUAUUAAAGGAAGUAACUAUUUAGAAGCUUUAAGAAGUGUAGAUACAGUAGUAUUUGAUAAAACAGGAACACUUACUAAAGGUGUGUUCAAUGUAACUAAGUUAAAUCCUGAAGGUAUAUCAGAUGAAGAAUUAUUAGAAUAUGCAGCUAUUGCGGAGGUAAAUUCAAAUCAUCCAAUAGCAAAGUCUAUAUUAAGUUACUAUAAUAAAAAAAUUGAUUUAGAUACAAUAGACAGUUAUGAGGAAAUAGCAGCUUAUGGAAUUAGAGUAAAGCAUAAUGGCAAUUUUAUAUUAGCAGGUAAUGAGAAACUUAUGAAAAAAGAAAAUAUAUCUUAUUCAUCAGCUAAAGAAGUAGGCACAGUAGUCUAUAUUGCUGUUGAUAAAGUAUAUAGAGGUUAUAUAGUUAUCUCUGAUGAAGUAAAAGAAGAUAGUAAAAAUGCCAUAAGAAGCUUAAAAGAAAUAGGGGUAAAAGAAGUUGUAAUGUUAACAGGAGAUAAUGAGAAAGUAGCAAAAAAUAUUGCUCAAGAAUUAGAAUUGGAUACAGUUUACUCAAAUUUACUUCCUAAUGAAAAGGUAGAUAGAUUAGAAGAUUUAUAUGAAGGAAGAACUGAAAAAGAGAAAAUAGCAUUUGUAGGUGAUGGAAUAAAUGAUGCUCCAGUAUUAGCUCGUGCUGAUGUUGGUAUAGCUAUGGGAGGCUUAGGUUCAGAUGCUGCUAUUGAAGCUGCAGAUGUAGUGCUUAUGACAGAUGAGCCUAGCAAGAUAUCUAAAGCAAUUGAAAUAGCAAACAAGACUAAUAAGAUAGUGUGGCAAAACAUAAUAUUUGCUCUAGGAGUAAAAAUUAUAGUUAUGAUACUAGGUGCUGGAGGAGUAGCUACUAUGUGGGAAGCUAUAUUUGCUGAUGUAGGUGUGGCACUUAUAGCAGUAGUAAAUGCUAUGAGAGCUAUGAGAUAAGGGAUAAAUGUAAAUCCAUACUAUUUAAAAAACUUAUAAUUAUAUAUUGAAGUAUGUAAUAAUGAAAGGUAUCAAUAAGUUUCUUUUAACUUUAUUGGUACCUUUUUAUUGGAGCGCUUUGCAUAUAUAAAUUUAUACUCAUUAUCCAUUAUGUUUAUUUAAUGUAUUUAUUUAGUGUAGAGCUUUUAUAUUGUAAUUUUAAAAUUUAGACAUAGAAGGUUUAUUAAUAAGUUUAUAUUAAGUUUAAAUUAGAUUCAUAAAAAUUAUAAUACUUAUGAUUGUAUAUAUAUUGUAUUAAUAGUUGUAAUUUUUACAACAAAAUGUGUGUGUUAAAAUACUCUAAACCAACAGUAUGACUGCCAUUCAAUAAAUUAUGUAAUAUAAGAAAGUAAAUAUUUUUAAAAAAUAAUUUAAAAAAGUAUUGACGAAUUAUUUUUAAGGUGAUAUAGUAUUACUUGUCCUUAAGAAAAGGGCAAACAUUGUCCUUAAGAAAAGGGCAAACAUAAAAAAUGAACUUUGAAAAUUAAACAGUAGGUUAAUUUAUAAAACAAGAAACAAACCAUAAAGCCAGAUAUUUUGAUAACAAUAGUAUCUGAGCCUGAUAAACUUUUAUUUGAGAGUUUGAUCCUGGCUCAGGAUGAACGCUGGCGGCGUGCCUAACACAUGCAAGUUGAGCGAUUUACUUCGGUAAAGAGCGGCGGACGGGUGAGUAACGCGUGGGUAACCUACCCUGUACACACGGAUAACAUACCGAAAGGUAUGCUAAUACGGGAUAAUAUAUUUGAGAGGCAUCUCUUAAAUAUCAAAGGUGAGCCAGUACAGGAUGGACCCGCGUCUGAUUAGCUAGUUGGUAAGGUAACGGCUUACCAAGGCGACGAUCAGUAGCCGACCUGAGAGGGUGAUCGGCCACAUUGGAACUGAGACACGGUCCAAACUCCUACGGGAGGCAGCAGUGGGGAAUAUUGCACAAUGGGCGAAAGCCUGAUGCAGCAACGCCGCGUGAGUGAUGAAGGCCUUCGGGUCGUAAAACUCUGUCCUCAAGGAAGAUAAUGACGGUACUUGAGGAGGAAGCCCCGGCUAACUACGUGCCAGCAGCCGCGGUAAUACGUAGGGGGCUAGCGUUAUCCGGAUUUACUGGGCGUAAAGGGUGCGUAGGCGGUCUUUCAAGUCAGGAGUGAAAGGCUACGGCUCAACCGUAGUAAGCUCUUGAAACUGGGAGACUUGAGUGCAGGAGAGGAGAGUGGAAUUCCUAGUGUAGCGGUGAAAUGCGUAGAUAUUAGGAGGAACACCAGUUGCGAAGGCGGCUCUCUGGACUGUAACUGACGCUGAGGCACGAAAGCGUGGGGAGCAAACAGGAUUAGAUACCCUGGUAGUCCACGCUGUAAACGAUGAGUACUAGGUGUCGGGGGUUACCCCCUUCGGUGCCGCAGCUAACGCAUUAAGUACUCCGCCUGGGAAGUACGCUCGCAAGAGUGAAACUCAAAGGAAUUGACGGGGACCCGCACAAGUAGCGGAGCAUGUGGUUUAAUUCGAAGCAACGCGAAGAACCUUACCUAAGCUUGACAUCCCAAUGACAUCUCCUUAAUCGGAGAGUUCCCUUCGGGGACAUUGGUGACAGGUGGUGCAUGGUUGUCGUCAGCUCGUGUCGUGAGAUGUUGGGUUAAGUCCCGCAACGAGCGCAACCCUUGUCUUUAGUUGCCAUCAUUAAGU